CAGUGGCACCUGACUACCUCAGCAAGAAGACAAAGAAGAAGAGGACUAAAAGCCAAAGAGAGGCAAUAGCAGCAGACAAAAUGCCAAAUAAAAGAUAGCACUAAGGAGGGAAAUGGACGGGGACGGAGACAAGGAAGAACACAAAGGAAGAGCUAACAUCAAACACUUAAUGCCUGCCUGGGACCAAAUAUAAUGCGAGAUGGAGCAG